GGCGUGCUUAACACAUGCAAGUCGAGCGGAAAGGCCCUUCGGGGUACUCGAGCGGCGAACGGGUGAGUAACACGUGAGUAACCUGCCCCUGACUCUGGGAUAAGCCCGGGAAACUGGGUCUAAUACCGGAUACGACACCUCCUGGCAUCGGGUGGGUGUGGAAAGUUUUUUCGGUUGGGGAUGGACUCGCGGCCUAUCAGCUUGUUGGUGGGGUAACGGCCUACCAAGGCGACGACGGGUAGCCGGCCUGAGAGGGCGACCGGCCACACUGGGACUGAGACACGGCCCAGACUCCUACGGGAGGCAGCAGUGGGGAAUAUUGCGCAAUGGGCGAAAGCCUGACGCAGCGACGCCGCGUGGGGGAUGACGGCCUUCGGGUUGUAAACCUCUUUCAGCAGGGACGAAGUUGACGUGUACCUGCAGAAGAAGCGCCGGCUAACUACGUGCCAGCAGCCGCGGUAAUACGUAGGGCGCAAGCGUUGUCCGGAAUUAUUGGGCGUAAAGAGCUCGUAGGUGGCUUGUCACGUCGGGUGUGAAAGCUUGGGGCUUAACUCCAGGUCUGCAUUCGAUACGGGCUGGCUAGAGGUAGGUAGGGGAGAACGGAAUUCCUGGUGUAGCGGUGAAAUGCGCAGAUAUCAGGAGGAACACCGGUGGCGAAGGCGGUUCUCUGGGCCUUACCUGACG
rnacentral:rRNA from 1 species